GGGAUAACAGUUGGAAACGGCUGCUAAUACCGCAUAAGCGCACAGUAUCGCAUGAUGCAGUGUGAAAAACUCCGGUGGUAUAAGAUGGACCCGCGUUGGAUUAGCUAGUUGGUGAGGUAACGGCCCACCAAGGCGACGAUCCAUAGCCGACCUGAGAGGGUGACCGGCCACAUUGGGACUGAGACACGGCCCAAACUCCUACGGGAGGCAGCAGUGGGGAAUAUUGCACAAUGGGCGAAAGCCUGAUGCAGCGACGCCGCGUGAGCGAAGAAGUAUUUCGGUAUGUAAAGCUCUAUCAGCAGGGAAGAUAAUGACGGUACCUGACUAAGAAGCACCGGCUAAAUACGUGCCAGCAGCCGCGGUAAUACGUAUGGUGCAAGCGUUAUCCGGAUUUACUGGGUGUAAAGGGAGCGCAGGCGGUGCGGCAAGUCUGAUGUGAAAGCCCGGGGCUCAACCCCGGUACUGCAUUGGAAACUGUCGUACUAGAGUGUCGGAGGGGUAAGCGGAAUUCCUAGUGUAGCGGUGAAAUGCGUAGAUAUUAGGAGGAACACCAGUGGCGAAGGCGGCUUACUGGACGAUAACUGACGCUGAGGCUCGAAAGCGUGGGGAGCAAACAGGAUUAGAUACCCUGGUAGUCCACGCCGUAA
rnacentral:rRNA from 1 species